rnacentral:rRNA from 1 species
UACGUAGGGGGCAAGCGUUGUUCGGAUUUACUGGGCGUAAAGCGUGCGUAGGUGGUUCGUUAAGUCUGAUGUGAAAGCCCUGGGCUCAACCUGGGAAUGGCAUUGGAAACUGGCGACCUAGAGUGCGGUAGAGGGUAGUGGAAUUCCCGGUGUAGCAGUGAAAUGCGUAGAGAUCGGGAGGAACAUCCGUGGCGAAGGCGACUACCUGGACCAGCACUGACACUGAGGCACGAAAGCGUGGGGAGCAAACAGGG